GCCACGUCAUCAGUCAACAGUCCACGGUUUGACCACGCGGAUGAACAGUAACACGGUUUGACCCGGAUGAACAGUAACGCGGUUUGGUUGAAAAUAAUCCUGUGUGAUGCAUGCACCGUACGCGAGAUUUUUCGUCCACUGAUAUGCUGCCACGUCACCAUCAACAGUACAUAAGAAUUUUAGUCCAACAGGAUCGUGACACCUCAUCAGUCAAUGCCACAUCAUCGGUCAAUGCCACAUCAUCAUCCGUCUAUGUGAACAGUGUCGUGAACAGUAACAUAUACAGUACCGUACACGUGAAUAGUACCGUACAAGUGAACAGUGCCAUUUUUCCUUUUAUGCUCCUCCUAAGGUUUUC
rnacentral:lncRNA from 1 species